rnacentral:lncRNA from 1 species
CACAUAACGGGCAGAACGCACUGCGAAGCGGCUUCUUCAGAGCACGGGCUGGAACUGGCAGGCACCGCGAGCCCCUAGCACCCGACAAGCUGAGUGUGCAGGACGAGUCCCCACCACACCCACACCACAGCCGCUGAAUGAGGCUUCCAGGCGUCCGCUCGCGGCCCGCAGAGCCCCGCCGUGGGUCCGCCCGCUGAGGCGCCCCCAGCCAGUGCGCUCACCUGCCAGACUAAAUGGGAAACCUCCGGGGGAAAUCAGUAUCUCAACAACCUUUGGCCAUGGGGAGAAAUCCAGAAAUAGAGCAAUAAGGUUAAGGCAGGGUGAGAUGGGCCAUGACACAGCCUGUAACUCCUUAUUCCUUAGUGCACUGGCUGCAAAACCUGGGCUCAAGGUGGCUGGGGUCACUGGGCAAAGUAGGACAGGGCCCCAGGGAGCAUGCUCUCUGCUGGCUUGGUUUAUUUUAUUUUAUUUUUUCCAGUGCUGUGAGGGGAAGACGGGAGUUUUUAAAUUGGUUCAUAUAUCCAGGGAAAGAAAAGCGUUUUUAAAAUCAUAACAGCAACACCCAUGACAAAGCAAAAGUAGAAUUCUAGGGAACUCUUGGUUUUUUUUCAAGCACACCAUACCGAUUUUACAACCUAAGGCUUGUGUCCCAAAGCCACAACUCUUUGUAGGGGGAAUUUUCUUCAUUUCUUCAAUUCUAUCUCUAAAACUACUGCUUAGUUUUCUUUUUAUAAAAAUCCAUUUAGAUAUUUCUAAAUAUCACAGACAACCCUUAUGGUCUGUUGGUGGGUUUUUGUUGCUGUUGUUUUAUUUUGUUUUGUUUGUCUGAGAGGUCCUCAUGGUUCUUGUGAUAUGUAUUGCAAAAAUAAGUCUGUUCUGCUCACAAUGUUGCUCACAAACAUUCAAACUGGGUUUCUUGUUUCAUUUUCCACAAUGUCUACAAAUCCAAACGUUCACCCAGCAUCCUCAAUGCAAAAGAAUAGACGGUUAACCUGAAGGACAGAGUGGUGCCAGCCUUAGAAAUCUUUUUUUAUAGAAUUGUGAAGGGGUUAGUUGUGUCAGUUUACGUAUGAAUUUCUUGAUGU